rnacentral:misc_RNA from 1 species
GUGAACGCCCUCACGGGCUUAUACUAUUCCAAACCUCUGUGAACUGUGCCCUUCGGGGCUAUUUUACAAACAUGGUGUAAUGAACGGUCAUAUAUCAUAACAAAACA